rnacentral:rRNA from 1 species
UACGUAGGUGGCGAGCGUUGUCCGGAAUUACUGGGUGUAAAGGGCGUGUAGGCGGGACUGCAAGUCAGAAGUGAAAUUCCCAGGCUCAACCGGGGGGCUGCAUCUGAAACUGUGGUUCUUGAGUGCUGGAGAGGAAAGCGGAAUUCCUAGUGUAGCGGUGAAAUGCGUAGAUAUUAGGAGGAACACCAGUGGCGAAGGCGGCUUUCUGGACAGUAACUGACGCUGAGGCGCGAAAGCGUGGGGAGCAAACAGG